GCGAGUUCAACUCUCUAUAACCAUUGUGAACGAACAGCUUCGUUGCCUUCGGCAGCGCACACCCAGCGGGCCUCCUGGAGCCCCGGGGCCGCCUGCCGAAAGAACGCAAACUCUUGUAACCACUGUAUCUCUGAGUGACUUAUUCAAUAAGUUA
rnacentral:misc_RNA from 1 species